rnacentral:rRNA from 1 species
UACAGAGGUCUCAAGCGUUGUUCGGAUUCAUUGGGCGUAAAGGGUGCGUAGGUGGCGUGGUAAGUCUGGUGUGAAAUCCCGGGGCUCAACCCCGGAACUGCACUGGAUACUGCCAUGCUUGAGUACUGGAGAGGAGAUUGGAAUUUACGGUGUAGCGGUGAAAUGCGUAGAUAUCGUAAGGAAGACCAGUGGCGAAGGCGGGUCUCUGGACAGUUCCUGACGCUGAGGCACGAAGGUCAGGGGAGCAAACGGG